rnacentral:rRNA from 2 species
UUUUAUGGAGAGUUUGAUCCUGGCUCAGGAUGAACGCUGGCGGCGUGCCUAAUACAUGCAAGUCGAGCGAACGGACGAGAAGCUUGCUUCUCUGAUGUUAGCGGCGGACGGGUGAGUAACACGUGGAUAACCUACCUAUAAGACUGGGAUAACUUCGGGAAACCGGAGCUAAUACCGGAUGAUAUUUUGAACCGCAUGGUUCAAAAGUGAAAGACGGUCUUGCUGUCACUUAUAGAUGGAUCCGCGCUGCAUUAGCUAGUUGGUAAGGUAACGGCUUACCAAGGCAACGAUGCAUAGCCGACCUGAGAGGGUGAUCGGCCACACUGGAACUGAGACACGGUCCAGACUCCUACGGGAGGCAGCAGUAGGGAAUCUUCCGCAAUGGGCGAAAGCCUGACGGAGCAACGCCGCGUGAGUGAUGAAGGUCUUCGGAUCGUAAAACUCUGUUAUUAGGGAAGAACAUAUGUGUAAGUAACUGUGCACAUCUUGACGGUACCUAAUCAGAAAGCCACGGCUAACUACGUGCCAGCAGCCGCGGUAAUACGUAGGUGGCAAGCGUUAUCCGGAAUUAUUGGGCGUAAAGCGCGCGUAGGCGGUUUUUUAAGUCUGAUGUGAAAGCCCACGGCUCAACCGUGGAGGGUCAUUGGAAACUGGAAAACUUGAGUGCAGAAGAGGAAAGUGGAAUUCCAUGUGUAGCGGUGAAAUGCGCAGAGAUAUGGAGGAACACCAGUGGCGAAGGCGACUUUCUGGUCUGUAACUGACGCUGAUGUGCGAAAGCGUGGGGAUCAAACAGGAUUAGAUACCCUGGUAGUCCACGCCGUAAACGAUGAGUGCUAAGUGUUAGGGGGUUUCCGCCCCUUAGUGCUGCAGCUAACGCAUUAAGCACUCCGCCUGGGGAGUACGACCGCAAGGUUGAAACUCAAAGGAAUUGACGGGGACCCGCACAAGCGGUGGAGCAUGUGGUUUAAUUCGAAGCAACGCGAAGAACCUUACCAAAUCUUGACAUCCUUUGACAACUCUAGAGAUAGAGCCUUCCCCUUCGGGGGACAAAGUGACAGGUGGUGCAUGGUUGUCGUCAGCUCGUGUCGUGAGAUGUUGGGUUAAGUCCCGCAACGAGCGCAACCCUUAAGCUUAGUUGCCAUCAUUAAGUUGGGCACUCUAAGUUGACUGCCGGUGACAAACCGGAGGAAGGUGGGGAUGACGUCAAAUCAUCAUGCCCCUUAUGAUUUGGGCUACACACGUGCUACAAUGGACAAUACAAAGGGCAGCGAAACCGCGAGGUCAAGCAAAUCCCAUAAAGUUGUUCUCAGUUCGGAUUGUAGUCUGCAACUCGACUACAUGAAGCUGGAAUCGCUAGUAAUCGUAGAUCAGCAUGCUACGGUGAAUACGUUCCCGGGUCUUGUACACACCGCCCGUCACACCACGAGAGUUUGUAACACCCGAAGCCGGUGGAGUAACCUUUUAGGAGCUAGCCGUCGAAGGUGGGACAAAUGAUUGGGGUGAAGUCGUAACAAGGUAGCCGUAUCGGAAGGUGCGGCUGGAUCACCUCCUUUCUA